rnacentral:rRNA from 1 species
AGACCGAUAGCGAACAAGUACCGUGAGGGAAAGAUGAAAAGCACUUUGGAAAGAGAGUUAAACAGUACGUGAAAUUGUUAAAAGGGAAACGAUUGAAGUCAGUCGUGCUCUCUGGGACUCAGCCGGUUCUUCCGGUGUACUUCCCAGUGAGCGGGUCAACAUCAGUUUAGAUCGCUGGAUAAAGGUAUUAGGAAGGUGGCUCCCUCGGGAGUGUUAUAGCCUAGUAUCGCAUACAGUGGUUUAGACUGAGGAACGCAGCUCGCCUUUAUGGCCGGGGUUCGCCCACGUCCGAGCUUAGGAUGUUGACAUAAUGGCUUUAAACGACCCGUCUUGAAACACGGACCAAG